AUAUCUUUCUUGGCCUCUUGGCUAAGAUCAAGUAUAGUAUUUGUUCCUUAUCAGUUUAACAUAUACAUGUGGUGAUGUACAACAUUGCAGAUAUUGAAUUAUUUUUUUAAAUUGCUAAAAAAUGUCGCAAGUUUAAGUCUUUUGGGCCCAAAAAACAUUU
rnacentral:snRNA from 1 species